rnacentral:rRNA from 1 species
GUGGGGAAUAUUGGACAAUGGGCGCAAGCCUGAUCCAGCAAUGCCGCGUGGGUGAAGACGGCCUGCGGGUUGUAAAGCCCUUUAGGCGGGGAGGAACGACGGGACGCGAAUACCGUUUCGAAGUGACGUUACCCGCAGAAUAAGCACCGGCUAACUCCGUGCCAGCAGCCGCGGUAAUACGGAGGGUGCGAGCGUUAAUCGGAAUUACUGGGCGUAAAGCGUGCGUAGGCGGUGGGGUCAGUCAGCCGUGAAAGCCCUGGGCUUAACCUGGGAACGGCGGUUGAGACGGCCCGACUUGAGUGGGCUAGAGGAUCGUGGAAUUCCGGGUGUAGCGGUGAAAUGCGUAGAGAUCCGGAGGAACACCGAUGGCGAAGGCAGCGGUCUGGGGCCACACUGACGCUGAGGCACGACGGCGUGGGGAGCAAACAGGAUUAGAAACCCGAGUAGUCC